UGNCCUGCCCGGUGAAAUUUUUAACGGCCGCGGUAUCUUGACCGUGCAAAGGUAGCAUAAUCAAUUGUUUUAUAAUUGAAGACUGGAAUGAAUGGUUGAAUGAAAUAUUGGCUGUCUUAUUAAUAUUUGUUAGAAAUUAGCUUUUAAAUGAAGAGAUUUAAAUAUAAUUGAUAGACAAGAAGACCCUAUUGAGCUUAAAAUAAUUUUAAAGAUGUAUUUUAUAGUGUAGAUAAAUAAAUUUUAGAUUUUUUUUGGUUGGGGCGACUGAGGAAUAAUCAAAGCUUCCUUUAAAUUAAAUAGAUUAUUUAAUUUUGAUCCAAUAUUAUUGAUUAAAAAAAAUAGUUACCAUAGGGAUAACAGCAUAAUCUUCUUUGAGAGUUCAUAUCGAAAAGAAGGGUUGUGACCUCGAUGUUGGACUAAAAUAUCCUAUAAAUGUAGCUGUUUAUGAGGGUUGGUCUGUUCG
rnacentral:rRNA from 1 species